UACGGGGGGGGCAAGCGUUGUUCGGAAUUACUGGGCGUAAAGGGCUCGUAGGUGGCCAACUAAGUCAGACGUGAAAUCCCUCGGCUUAACCGGGGAACUGCGUCUGAUACUGGAUGGCUUGAGGUUGGGAGAGGGAUGCGGAAUUCCAGGUGUAGCGGUGACAUGCGUAGAUAUCUGGAGGAACACCGGUGGCGAAGGCGGCAUCCUGGACCAAUUCUGACGCUGAGGAGCGAAAGCCAGGGGAGCAAACGGG
rnacentral:rRNA from 1 species